CUGCGGAAGGCUCCAGAAAGGGAAGGCACAGACUGCACACUCCAACCCUUAUUUCUAAGAACAUGCUUGCUAGCCUGUCCCGCCCCCUAACUGGCAGAGAAAUCUUCGGCAUUUAAAGACCAGGAAUGAAAAGGGGCGGGCGGGUCGUGGAAAGUGAGACUCCCUCCUGCGUGUCAGCGGGGCAUGGCCUCCAUCCAUCCCACUACCUCCCUACGCGCUGCUCAGAGCUCAGGUGCAAAUGCAGCUCUGGGUUCUGAGCUUGUCUUUCACCCGGAGCCUCCGCGGGGAGCAGAGCUGAGAGGACAGUGAGUGCGGCCUGAACCUGGGACCACAGGUGCGUCCAGGUCUCCAGCCACUGACCCAGGGCCGACAGGCUCCCACCCAGAGAACUCGGGCAUUCGCCCAGGCCCGGAGCUGCCAACCCUUUCUGACCCCCCAGAGCAGUGAUCGGCGGGCCCCGGAACCUCCUGCACCCCGCGGCCUGGGAGGGGCGGUUCUGCCCUUCCCCGGCCCGCCUCCGGGUUAACUGCGGCCCAACGCAACCAGCGCUUUUCCUGAGGCCAAUGGAGAACGGCUGGCCUCCUUUUGUUUCCUGAUCCAUAAUCCGAUCUGUUGGGAAGAGUAGGAUGAUGUAAGGAUCACAAGCUUUGGAGUUGGACCAUCUGCGCCCAGAUCCUGGCUCUGCCACUUUCUACCCUUGGAACUUCUCAGGUUACCCUAACCUCUUGGAGCCUUAGUUACCUCACUGUGCUCAGCCCAGGAUCUUCUGCUUCAAGAUUGAGGAUACUCUCCCAAGGGGGAAAAGAACAAAGGAAGGAGAACUGGGUAGAAGAAAACAGACUUCACCCAUCACUGAAACAUUUCGUACCUGAAGCACAACCACCUUGAGAGAAGAACAUGGUGGCAGCUCUUCACAGUCACCUGAUUGAGGGGCUUGGGUUUGGUCCUGACUCAGAGGGAAAUACACCACCACUGAGAGGCACCCCCACAGCACCUUCGUAAUCACAGCCAAGCCUUAGCUUGGUCCCAGCAGACAUAUGAAAAAAGAUGACUGUCAGAGCCACCAAGAGGGUGGCAGACUUGCUGUUACCAGGUCCACUCACAUGGAUCACAAUGUCUGCAUGAGGUCAUGGAAUGUUGCCGAUGAAAUGAAAGUGGCUCCUAAGUCAUAAAGUUGCAGGCAGAUGGACAUCCUUUUGACAGGGCUCCCAGGAAUUGAGCUGUGACACUCUCCCUGAUGAUUCUGGGAAGUACAUAUCUCUUCCAGAGUUGGGGUCAAAUCCAUACAUGCCCAGUUCCCACCAAAGCCCACUCUCCCCAGGGCUUGCAGGGAUAGAAAGAUAACCACACGCCUCCAGAUUUGUCUAUGUGA